rnacentral:tRNA from 1 species
GCCUGGAUAGCUCAGUCGGUUAAGCGUCUGACUUUGGCUCAGGCCAUGAUAUCGCGGUUCAUGGGUUCAAGCCCCGUGUCGGGCU